UGCCACACUGCGCAUGCAGCCCCCCCGAGGUUGCCCACACGGCGCACAAUGCCCCCGGAGUGCCCGACCGUGCAUGCAAUCCCUCACGUGCUCACGGGAGGUACUGCUGUCCCCCAGAGAUCCCAUCAAAAGCCAGCAUUUCCCAGGGUGGCUGCAGCCCCUCAAAGCCUCUGCUCCCUCCCCCCACUGCACAUGGAUAGGAGGGAGGGAUUCUGGGCAGGAAGCAAAAGGGGCAGGUAGGCAGCCAGCAGCAUCCUGCGGCAUCCUGGCACUGCGGAGCUCCACACCUGCCCAGGCUCCAGCAGGGACAUCCCACCGCUGUGAAGCAGAGAAUGGAGGCAGCCAUCACUAGGAUCUUACCCAUGGGGCCAGCCAGGGAGGAGGGCACCAGCUCCCACCGCCCGCAGCUUACGGAUGGCGGCUCGGAUCAGCUUGCGUUCCUCAUACUCACCCGCUGCCCGCAGCUGCGAGGGAAGGACCCAGAAAAGCCCCGGCACAGGGUGACCCAUGGUCAGCCCCAGCACAAGUUCCAUCCCAGCAAACAGUCUGCCCCAGCACAUGGUCGCUCACCAGUUUUGUCAGUUCCUCCACGCUGGUGAUGGCUUCGAGCUGCUCAGACAAGGCAGCCAGGGCUGCCUGCUGCUCCUCUUCCAGGCGCCGGAACCUGAGCAGGAUGAGAGGAGUGGCCAUCUGGGAGCUGUCACGGGUGCUUGAGAGCAAAGUCCCCUUGUGGGCAGUUGGCAGAUCCAGGCAACAGGCCCCACCAUGCACCAAGCUGCUCUGUGCCGCGCUGCUCCCACCCUCAUGUUCACUCAAAUCUGUCCCAGCCAUAGCGGGGCCAGGUACCGCAACUCCCAUCUCCCAGGGCAGAGGCACGGAAUGACCCCAGCCCACAACAGGACUCACUGUGGCCAAUUCUCCUUGUUGUCCUGUCGGUGGCUGCUGCGUUCUGGGCGGAAGCGCUUGGAUGCCAACGUCUCCUCGUCUCGCUCCAACUCCUGCCGCUGCAGCUCCCGGAUAGCCGAGCGGAUGCGGCGCCGCUCAGCCAGGUCUAGUGUGGCCUCCAGCUGGGUGCACAGGGCAGAGCUCAGCACUGGCUCUGUCUGCUGAGUCCCCAUCUCAGCCCUGGUGCCGCCCUCUCCCAUACUGCCAUGAGUUGCCCAUGCUCUGGACAAAGGCACUGUCUGUGUGUGGCACCCACAUGCCCAGCGCACGCUGCCCGGCACUGCCAGGCCCUGCAGGAAGUGGGCACGGCCCCCCCGGGACAGGAUGCUGGAACCAGCCAUAGUGAAGAGGGGCUGUCACUGUGGCACCGAGGCCUCCGGGCAUGUAAAGGUAAAAGAGACAAGCAUGGGAAAUGAACACCCUACUGUUCAUUUCUGUCCUACUGCCUGCAAGGGCUGGUGCCCUGCAGCUCUGUCCCUCCCAGUAGCACCAGCUCUGGAAUGAGUCCUCCUACCCAUGCCAGUCCCUCCAGCAGCAAAGGGACAGGAGAGCCCAUUCUCUUCUCAUCCCCUGUUCCCCAGGAGGUGCUGGUUGAAAGGACCCCAGCAUCCCACCAAGGAGUCAUCUUGUCCACCUCGCAGCCCUCCCCAUCCUCAUUGACUGCUAGCACAUAGCAGGUGGCUCUUGGAACCAAAUCCAUGAGUGGGAUCUGUUCUAAAUGCAAGUCCAACCCUUUAUGUGUGGGAAGCACAGCCACAACUCACCCACAAAUGCCCCUCAUGAACAUCUCACAGGCACUCCAGGUGCUCCUCAGCUCACCAAAGGCCAGCACCUGGCAUGGGCAUGCAGAGCUGCUCCCCCUCUUCCAGAUCAGGUCAGCCCCAUUACCAGCUCCAAUUUUUCCAGAGUGCUAUGAACACACCUCCUGAUGUUCAAGGGGCAGAAGGCAGCCAGAUAUGCAGUGAGAGGCCAGUCAGGGCAGGCAUGGCCCCACUACCCUUACACUGUCCUGCUGUAGGACAUCAACACCACCCUGACAUCAGGAACCCAGGAGGUGAUUUCCCAUGGAGCUCAUUAAAAUAAACCAAAUGACCAACACCA